ensembl:lncRNA
AACGAGGAGUCGAGUCAAGGGAGAAAAUAUAUUUCAAUCCAAAAUACUCGACUCGGUAAAAUGAAGAUCCACACUUUCACCGAAACCCCCACCCUAGACGCGCACGCGCGCUGGACCACGUGGUGGAGCUAGACGGGGCUGGGCGGGGCUACUGCCUCCCAAUGAUCUCUACAUAGCAAGGUGCAGAUAUCGUCAGUGUUUAUCAGCUCCAGAGGGUUUUCAGUUUGCUGGAGAGUGAAGUUCUCUAAAUGGGAACAUAAUUUUUUUUUUUUUUUUUUUUUUUACAGAUUUUCCCGUUGAAAAUAAUGAACAGAGGACACUGGGAGGAUUGGACCAAAGUGCGGGAGAGGUUAUCUGAAACAGAGGGACAGGCGAAGAGUUGGACGAUCAGCAGUCAGAAUGGGAGCAGAGAUCCAUAGACGAAGACGGAGGACGCGGCGAAUGGUCAAAAGCAAGGGGCCGAGGACCAGGGAUGACAAAGAGCAGGCCAUAAGCACAAGGAGGACAGUUAUCUCUCUGAGAUUCCACACUAGUACCAGAUUUAUACCAAGGUUGAGCUGCCAGCAGGAGGUGGGUGCUGCCCUGCCAGAGAGGGUGCAGUACCUCAUUGUGCAGAACAAAGGCCUGCAGGGGCAGCUCAGCGAGGUGAAGAGGAAACAGGCUGAGUCAGAUUGCAAGAGUAAGCAGGAGGUGAUAGCCGUACGAUUACGGGAAGCAGGCAGCAUGGCAGCUAUGGCUGAGCUGCAGCAGAAGAUAGCUGAGCUUGAGAUCCGGAAGGAGGAAGGGCAGAUCCAGGGUCAGCUGAACCACUCAGAUGCCAGCCAGUACAUCACCCAGCUGCAGGAGCGAAUCUCUGAGCUCAAGAACGAGCAAAUUAUUUCUGAAGCACAUGACAGAUUGCAACCUCCGGUGGAGGAGGACUGGGAAGAGGAGGUCAAGCAGUCAUUGCCACGCACUGAGGACUGUGAGAAUCAGUCCAAGGACUCAUCUCCUUAUGAGCCUGAGGAUGUGGUCAAGCCGGACGAUCUGAAGGAAUGCCCGGAUCAUAUGCAGUACCAGAACCUGACCCAUAUGGAGUACAUCCCUGCACUGCAUCAUGUGUCCCCAGUGAAGUGGGCCCAUUGAUCUCCUGGCCACAUCCUUCUAUCUAAUGGCCACAUCCUGUUCUCUGGAAAAUCUGCAGGAGGGGGCGACCAGCCCUGAUCUCUAUAAGCCACAGUUCCACAUGGCUCAGCUCUGAAUCAUCGAAGCCCGGCUGGUAAUCGUGACCAAAUGUGUCCGGGAGUUUUGGCUGGGCUAUUAACCGGAGCUCCAAUGUAAACUGUGGGCAGGAAGACAGUGGUACUCUGGUACAACCCUUGACCUUGUUCCACAGAUGGCACGCAAAACAAUGGAGACGUGCCUUCUCCAUCCUGCUGGGACUUGGUCCGAGCACUCCAGUGGGCUCCCUCCCAGCUUCGAGAGUGGGGAACAGGGCAGCAUGCAGGAGGUCACAUGCUCUGGAAGGCCUGAGUUGUCUGGAAUGCCAGGGUACACGGCGUGAAGACACGGUUGGUCUGCUGGACAAGCCGGCUGUUUCCUAAUCGCCCAUGUUACAGCGGACUGCUGGUGCGGAGGCCUCAGUUCCCAGGCUACAAGUAGCUUGACUGUCUUAGCCUGGGUUGUAUUUUUGUUUUGUAAAAUUUUUGAAAACGAUUGAACUCCUGGUUAAUAAAAGAGUUCAGAGGGCAGUGAAAUGCUGCA